UCCCUGUGUAUUUUAAUGAUGUUUAGUUUGGUUCAAAUAACCAUACCUCUAAAAUACACCCUUUUUCCUUGGGACCCACUCUUCUAUCCGGCAAGGGAAUAACUUCUUAAAAAACUUCGCAUUUUCCAAGUGUACAGUCUCCCCUUAACCAGAACUGCAGACUCUGAAUCACAGACCUCUGGCUUACCAAUUAUGCUUAGCUGAGCAAACACACUUAUGCAAAUACGUGAAAAACAAACUGUUAGAGCCUGAAGGAAUAGAGGAUUUCGCUGUGAUCAUCAAUAUGUGAUCAUCACAUUUUCAAUAUUUAUGUUUACCAAUAUCUAUCUAACCCCAUAGGAAACGACGCGUCCAUAGUGAAACAAGCCAGCACCCACAUUUAUGAAAAAAUCCACGGAUUUCAACAAAAAUGAAGAGAGGAGAGCAGAAGCGGAGAGCCACAACCUCAGGCCCCAGACAGCAGGCAGCAGCAAGUCCUGAAUGCCUUCACUCUUAACAUUGCAAAGACCAAAUGGCAGCAAAGAAAAACAAGAAUAAACUUUAAAUCCAUUCACCACAAAGGAGUCCUACGCAAGUCAAAGGAGCCGUCGAUUUCAAAACCAUCAACUUUCAAAGCCAGGUCCCUCCCUUGCCUUACAACCUCCUGUUACUUGUUAAGCACGUUUGUUAGGCGGCUGGACAGAAACUUAGUUAAAAGUCCUCAGCCCGGUGGUGGGGGACAACCGAGUCGUCAGUGGGAAGCGAGAGGUGCGGAGCCCCAGGGGCGCAGGGACCCCUCGGAGGUGCAAGUCCAGCGGGACGAGGUUUUGGGAGAAUUUCGAGGGCCCCUCGCAAGCCCUCCCGCGCACCCACCCCGACCCAGGAUUUCCGGAGUGAUCACAAUUAUCGGCCUCUCGCUCCACAGCUAAGGCCACCGCAUAUCAAAAAUAGCAGCGUGUGAGUAAAAGUUUCAUGAGCCCUCGCCUUGAAAUGGCACAGAGGACACAGCACACCAGCAGUAAGGCAUGGGGACUCGGCAGGACUGAUCUGAUUGAGAGAAACGCAGGACAGCGAGGCGGGGCUAUGUUGGUGGUGGCCACCAGGUAACCGUGGGCUUUGCAGAAGAGAAAGGUCACUGCAAACCGUAGCUGGACGGAAACUUUUCAAGCCUCAAGUGAGUUAUGCUGUGACGGGACCAUGACCAUCUCCCACCGGUGACUGCUUAGAACCUUGACCAAGCUCGUGUGGUUUUCACAGGAUGCUCAGGGCUGAGUCCUGGCUGUAAAUAAUUUACUAUCUAAAGCUGUUUCCUUUUAAAAACAAUGGUUCUAAUCUUUUUUUUAAAAAAAAUCAUUCAAAUCUUUUUUAAAAAUCCACUUUAAAUAACUUUGCUUUCUAUACCUUUCCUACGAAUAUAUGAUUUAUUUUAUAACCUACUAUGUGAAAAAAUUGAAAUUUUAGUACAUGCACAGUGCUAAUAUGUUCAUGCACAAUGCUACUUAUGUUUGUGUACGGCAUGCAGAAAUGUGUAUAGAUAUGUAUACCCAUGAAUACAAACCACUCCCUUAUCUCACAAAUAAUCAUAGGGGUUGAUACCAAACUAUAAGAAAUAUUAUAUUGGGAUGAAUAGGCAAAUGUUCACUAUAAAAUCUCAGUAUCAUAAAAAGUAUAUAUUGGUAAGAAAAAAAUAUACUCGAAAGAGGUUUCCAUAUAUUUUUAACCAUAGCUCUACUCAAGUCAAAAAAUCACUUAUUAGCUAAUUUUCCCGUCUCUUUCUUCCUAUACACUGUACUUACUAUCAGAUUUCUUAACACCAAUACUUCUAUAUCUAAUAUAAAGACAUUUUAAAAUUAAUUAUUUCCAUGUUUAGCCUUUCCCCAUAAAUCAAAGGUAAAGUAAAAGGAGUUUCUUACCUACCACUCAACUUGAAUAUUUUUAAUAUGUUGAUUUUGUCUCUUACCUUCUUAAGGAAUACAGUUGCUUCUGUUUUGACUAUCUUAACUACUCUGUGGCCCCUUCUAACAUCAAAUUGGGAGGCCUGUCCGUACAAGACAUGUGUAUUCAACAGUAAGUUAUUUGCUAUAAAACACUUCAUUUCCUCUUUAUUUGGUCUGCUGUGGCCUGAAAUGAAAUAUAGAACAAACUGAAAGGUCUGCCUGGACAGACCUGUCUUCCUGACAAGCGUGGACCUGUCUAAAUGAGACAGCUUCUGCAGCCAGCUUUAGAUCGAUAACUCUAAAAUUAAAUGUAGGUAUGUACAUCCAGUAGAAAAGGACAGAGAAAAUGAAAUACAAUACAGAAUUCAGUUCAGCAUCUAGAUUAAUCCAUAAAACCUAGCUCAUUAUGUUCCAAAUGAGCUACUUUUCUCAUCUGUAAAAUGGAAUAAUGGUACCAGUGCAGUCUUUUAUAUGGUUCCAAGUUGUCUUUUAUCAAAGUAAAAUAAUAUAUUUGGGUGGGCUUCUGAAGACACUAACAUUGAUGAUGAGGUUUCAACAGGAACAAAGAAUACCUUGAUAAAUUUUCUUGAAUGUUUUCUCCUGUCUGUAGUCCUCUUGUCAUUCAGACAUUCCCUUUCUUGGAGAGUCAUCCUGAUGCUUUCUGUCCUAACCUUUCUCUCCUCCCCUCUGCCAAGCAGUAUUUCUUUAGAUUUGUUUCUUCAAAUGACUUCAGCAGAGGUAAAGACCCAAAGACAGCUGGCGCUGUCAAACAUGACAAAAAAUAUUCUUAGCCACAGUGGCUCAUGCUUGUAAUCCCAGCAUUUUGGGAGGCUGAGGCGAGAGGAGCGCUUGAGCCCAGGAGUUCGAAGCUGCAGUGAGCUGCCAUUGUGCCACUGCACUCCAGCCUGGGCAACAGCCAGGCCCUGUCUCUUAAAAAGUUUUAAAAUUUUUAAAUAUAUAUGUAUGUUCAGCAAAAUGAAGCCAGGCAUGGUGGCUCACACCUGUAAUCCCAGCACCUUGGGAGGCCAAGGUGGGCAGAUCGCUUGAGGCCAAGAGUUUGAGACCAGCCUGGCCAACAUGUCUGUCUCUACUAAAACCCUGUCUCUACUAAAAAUAUAAAAAUUAGCCGGCAUGGUGGUGCAUGCCUGUAGUCCCAGCUGUUGGGAGGCUGAGGCAUAAGAAUCUCUUGAACUUGGGAGAGAGAGGUUGCAGUGAGCCAAGAUUGCACCACUGCACUCCAGCCUGGGCAACAGAACAAGACUGUGUCUCAGAAAAAGUUCAGCAAAAUGAAACAUUGUGAUGGAUAUUUCAAGUUCAGGUUUUACAUUAAUAUCUGGAAGGACACCAUAGACUUUGUCAGACUAUUGAUAUAAGCUAGUGAUCCAAGGACUAUAAUUUGAGAAGCAUUUCGGGUGGAAAAAUUGGCUGUCACUGCCUUUGGCACUAUUAUUUGUUCAAAAGGUUCCCCAGUCAUGGCACACUCAUGGAAGAGUUCUCUCUUCCUCCCUCUGUUCGCUUCCCUCUGGCAAAAAGCUUUUGAAAUUUUCUGUUCGAGAGUAAUCAAAACUAUCAGCAAAACGAUCUGUUGGAAACUUUCCCUCCAGUCUAUUAAGGUAGAGACUGAUUCAAAGACAGUAUUUUGGUGAAACAAUACCCUGAGAGAACUCAGCCUUUUCCGGAAAGUUUUGCAGAUGAUGCCUCCAGGCAUAGUUUUCUUCCUCCUUGAAAUGGGGUAUUUGUGCCUCUCCAGUGUUUUUCCCCUUGGCUAGGGGGGAAAAAAAAGCAUUCUCCUUAGGAAACCUUUCUAUUUUAAAAGUCCAGCGGCAAAGGUGGGUGGGGCAGCCCAAUUUAGUAAAAAGUAAUAAUAAUAACACUCUUCAGAGUGCAGGUGGCAUAAGGAGAUUCCAAGAAUGGAGAGAAUUUGGGUUUGCAUGCAGCAGCCUCCUGCAAGGACUAGGCUGCAAUGAAAGCCCCAAACAGAGUAACUCUGUGUUCACCUUUUUCUUAUCACAUACAUCUGCAUGAAUACUCUGGGUAACAUCAGAAGUAGGUCAAGGCUAGCAGAUCCUUUCUCUGUAGUCUCCCUCAUCCAAAAUAAAAAAGGCUUAGAUCUAAAACAGAGUGAAGAAAGACAAGGAAAAGGAAAAAAAUAUAUGUGUGUUAUAUAUACAACUAUAAAGCUAAAAAUGGAUCUGGAUACAAAGAAAUCAUAGAAAGGGUCAACAAAACAAAAACCUAGUUCUAUAGAACAAUAGCAAGAUAGAUAAAUUUCUGGUAAAAUUGACAAUGAAAAAAGAGAAAAGAAGGCUAUGAAUAUGGAGAUUAUAAUUACAGUUUCAGUAGAAUUUUUUAAAUCCUAAGAAUACUAUGAACAUUAAAAAACUUGGCUGAAAUACUUUCUUCAAUAAAUUAAUUUUUAAUUCAAUAAAAGAUGAAAAUUAAAAUAAUACA